ACACAUAUACUCACAGAAAUGAGUUAUUUAAAGAAGACGGUCCAGAUUCCACAGUCCAAAAAAAAAAGAGGUUUGCCCUGCUUCUGAAGGAGUCAGGGUAUGAAUGCAGAGGUCUUCCUGUUGGCUCACAUAUCAGAUCUUCAACGUCAACAUUAAAUGCUGAAAGAACAUCAGUGUAUCAGCACAGCAAAUAUUCCAAAUGCCAGGCUGGAUUCCCUCCAAUUACCAGGACCUCCAGGCUUCUCCUCCUUUCAAGAACUUUCUGACCCUGGAUCCAGUCUAAAUGUUGGUUAUAAACUCACCUGACAUCCACAGGGCCCUUCCAAAAUACUGUCAAGGCUGACUGCUGGUGCCUGGAACCUGCACACCCUCCUGGGACUCUGCAUCUCUGCUGGGGCUGGUUUCUCCUCUGAGCCACCUUAAGGAAUCCCACCCUGACCCGGAAAUACUACGACAAUGGGACUUUGGGAAUGUGUUCUGGAGACUCCACUCCUUGGUGACUACUACAUGGAGCACAGAAAAUUGUCUUGAGUGGCAGCUAUGUGCCAGCAAUACCUGCCUGGCAGAGUUGUGAGAAUUAAAUGAGAUGAUGAAUACAUCUGCUCUCAGCACCACACCACACCUGUGGCAGUCCUCAGAGAGAAGAAUCACAGCUUUCAUUCAUUGAGAGCUCACUAAGUGCCAGAACCAUAGAGCUCAAAGCUUCUCAGCUCAACGGAGAACUCAGCACUUCUUGGACUGAUAAAUAGAGCAGCUUUAAAAUGCUUAGAACUGAAGACAGACCAACUGUGGCGAGAGAAAGUAAACACAUCCAUGCACCAGUCAACCCUAGCAAGCUCCUCGCUGAGAUUACAAACUGCAGUUCCUGCCUGAGCCGGAGAGGAUGCUGGAGCAGGCUGGGGGACCAGAACCACAAACCAGCCCUGGCUUAGCUCUGGCUUAGCUAGCUGUGCCCCAGAAGAGCUGGGUCCUCAGGGAGUCUUCUUGCGGCCCGGUUUGGAUGUUCCUAAGCAUAGAAGACUCUGCCAGUGUGUCCCUCAUUCGUUUCACAUUUGGAAAUGUACCAAGAGAAGUGGGAACCAGCUUUACUCUUUGAUCUAGAUGGGAAUCCUUUCCUUUGCAUUCAAGCUCUCUGUGUACAGGUGUAACUUGCCAGUGAGAGACUUGGGAUUUCUCACAAAAUAGAAUGUGAUAACGACAUAAUUUGAUAUGAAUAUUUGAGGAACUUUAUCUCUGGACAAUAUAUACUUUAAACAUCCCCCUCCCCAAGUCACACACACAAAUUGUUUUUAUGAGAACCAAUUAAUAAAUGCUAAUUCAUUGAGGCA
ensembl:lncRNA PAX8-AS1 PAX8 antisense RNA 1